rnacentral:rRNA from 1 species
AAUCAACGCUGGCGGCGUGCCUAACACAUGCAAGUCGAGCGAGAAAAGGGGAGCAAUCCCCUGAGUACAGCGGCGCACGGGUGAGUAACACGUGGGUAAUCUGCCCUAGAGUGGGGAAUAACACCGGGAAACCGGUGCUAAUACCGCAUACGAUCACAAGAUCUGCGGAUUUUGUGAUGAAAGGAGCAAUUCGCUCUGGGAGGAGCCCGCGGCUGAUUAGCUAGUUGGUGAGGUAACGGCUCACCAAGGCAACGAUCAGUAUCCGGUCUGAGAGGACGGUCGGACGCACUGGAACUGAGACACGGUCCAGACUCCUACGGGAGGCAGCAGUGGGGAAUUUUUGGCAAUGGGGGCAACCCUGACCAAGCAACGCCGCGUGGGCGAUGAAGUCUCUUGGGACGUAAAACCCUUUCGACGGGGACGAAACCGCAAGGUUGACGGUACCCGUAGAAGAAGCCCCGGCUAACUCCGUGCCAGCAGCCGCCGUAACAC